UGUUAAAUUUAUGACAUAUAAGGGAAGUGUGAAGAUCCUCAAGUGUGUGAUCUGAAAACAUCUCUCUGGAAGUGCACAAGUUUCUCUGUGACUUAAACUCUGUUUUGUUAAAGACACAACAUCAUGUACCGUUUUCUGAUCUUCAGUGCCAUUCUUCUCUUUGCAGUUGCCAUUGACUCCUCAAAAAAACAAAACAGCACUUUAGAGAUUAAUCCAGAUCCAGAACCAUCGCCAAGUAGCAACCCUGGGUCCUUCACUUCUCCAGUAUCACUGUUCAUCUGCACACUCCUAUCCUUCUUCUACCAUAUGCUGGCCAACUAAUACCUGAGAAGAAUCCUUUACUGGAAACCCAAAUAUUGUUCCUUUACUCUAUCAAAGGUGUCUUGUGCUUCAUCUAUGACCAAGCAGUCCGUAAGAUGAACCCUCAGAUUGUCCUCUUGAAUGCUUGCUUCAGCGCGGCUGGGCUCAAUUUGAUUGUACACUCCUCUGACCACUCCUCAACACCUUCCAUUCAACCAAUUGCUUAAAUAUCCCCAUAACCAAUACACUGGCUAAAUAAAUAUGUAUUGUUUUUCACCAGA